rnacentral:misc_RNA from 1 species
UCUAAUUCAACCUUUUGGGGAAAUAUGUAUUUCAGAGUUUGUCAAAUUUCAGGAUUAUAUAAUUUAGUCGAUCUGAUAUUCUAGAAGCUUACAUCAGUUUGAUUCACAUUUAAUUCCUUCUUUUAUUGUAUAGGGACUACACAAACCCUUAUCUCCCAGUAAAUCCUACUGCAAUGGAGGGGGUUCUUCAGCCUGUUGUAGGUCCAGAUGGAAAGAAAAAGGAACCCGAGAGUAAUGUGCUUUUUGCCUCUUUAGAAAAUAUGCAGUAUGCUGUUACCGUUGAUGUCCUUAACACGGUUUUUUCUGCAUUUGGUACUGUUCAGAAGAUCGCUAUAUUUGAGAAGAAUGGUCAAACCCAGGCAUUAGUUCAG